UACGGAGGGAGCUAGCGUUGUUCGGAAUUACUGGGCGUAAAGCGCGCGUAGGCGGCUUUGUAAGUUAGAGGUGAAAGCCCGGGGCUCAACUCCGGAACUGCCUUUAAGACUGCAUCGCUUGAAUCCGGGAGAGGUGAGUGGAAUUCCGAGUGUAGAGGUGAAAUUCGUAGAUAUCGGGAGGAACACCAGAGGCGAAGGCGGCGACCUGGACAAGUACUGACACUCAACUACGAAAGCGUGGGGAGCAAACAGG
rnacentral:rRNA from 1 species